rnacentral:rRNA from 1 species
UAUGUGAUCGUCUCUCGCAUAUCAAUAAGCGGAGGAAAAGAAACUAACAAGGAUUCCCCUAGUAACGGCGAGUGGAGCGGGAAGAGCUCAAAUUUGAAAUCUUAAAGGGUUUCCCUUUACGAAUUGUAGUUUAAAGAAGUGUUUUCUGUUGAGGUUUUGGUAAAAGUUCUUUGGAAUAGGACAUCAUAGAGGGUGAGAAUCCCGUAUUUGACCUUUACUUUCAACUUUGUGAUACACUUUCAAAGAGUCGGAUUGUUUGGGAAUGCAGUCCAAAAUGGGUGGUAAAUUUCAUCUAAAGCUAAAUAUUGGCGAGAGACCGAUAGCGAACAAGUACCGAGAGGGAAAGAUGAAAAGAACUUUGAAAAGAGAGUUAAACAGUACGUGAAAUUGUCAAAAGGGAAGCGUUUGACACCAGUGUUGUUUUUCUGAAAAUCAAUUAAAGAACUGUUUAUGCUAAGUUGUUUAGACUUUAUCAGCUAACUGUUUAGUUUUGAGCUUUUCUUUAAUGCACUUUUCAGUUAACAAGUCAACAUCAAUUUCUUUUGCUGUAAAAAAGCUUGAGGAAGGUGGCUUGAGAUUCGUCUUAAGUGUUUAUAGCCUCUUGCCUAUGCAGCGGAGAGAUUGAGGUCUGCAGCGUAGAUCCUUCGGGGCUAAAUGCAUUUGUGCUAAGUUAUAGCAUUUUAUAGACAACUUGUUGACUAUGAUUUGUCUUGUAGCUUACUCGCUUAUGUUAUUUUACCUACGCUUAGGAUGUUGAGUAGCGACAUACGCAC